rnacentral:rRNA from 1 species
CCCUUAGAUGUCCUGGGCUGCACGCGCGCUACACUGGAAGUUACGGAUUGAGAUACUACCUUGUCCGAAAUGGUCCGGGUAAUCACCUAAAAGCUUGUCAUAAUUGGAAUGGAUUAUUGUAACUAGUAAUCCUGAACGAGGAAUUCCUAGUAAGUCCCAGUCAACAGCUGGUACUGAUUACGUCCCUGCCCUUUGUACACACCGCCCGUCGCUACUACUGAUUGGACGUUUAAGCAAGAUUUUUGAACACUGACAGUGUGUAGUUCACGCUAUACUACAGUGAGAAGAAGAAGAUCGAGCUUACUUGUCUAGAGGAAGUAAAAGUCGUAACA